UUAUCCCAUCCUUAUUUGUCUGUUUGUUUUACUUGCUUCUCUCCUAAUUUGUUUUUGUUCUCAUUCGCCAUCGGAUUGUCUUAUCGACACAACAACCUUCCGUACACUUAAAAUAUUUUAAUAAAAACAGAUUUUAUCCUUUGAUUACCUAACAGUAUUCUCAACGGUUUUAUUUUAUUUGACGGUAAUUUGUUCGUUUCAACCUAUUUCAUACCAGCGUUCCACCCCCUCAAAGGGACCUUACGCUCGAUCGGACUUUCCGUUCUCAAACUCUUUGCGUGCGACACCGAAAUUCAUCAUCCCAAAGCGACAUGCACACAUACGGACUCUCCUGUUUCCAAAUUCAGCGAGGAUUUCUUCUCUCACAUGUGGAAUACGCCUAUCUUCGACACAGACGCAGCGAUAAAGUUAAACAAAAUAUUAGGAAGUCUCCUUUCGAAAUUAAAAUACAGAGAAAGCGCUGUGGAGGACGAAUUUACUAAAUGUUUAAGACAAGAAGCCAUUAAAAUGGGCAUGUAUUCUUGGUGACAUCACUUGUCAGAGAAUAGCUUACAAUAGAUUGUUACAUCAUAUUGAAAAUCCGGAAAAAAUACAAAUUAUAGAUUUUUACCGUGGUGGGAAGAAUGGAUAUACUGUAAAGGUUUGACGUUAGCAGAUUUUGAUACUUGGCAAAUGAUGACAAAUAUGGCAUUGAUACAAAACCAUGAUAAUCGAUUUUUAAAAUUUUUAGCUUGUUUUUUUCUAAAAAUAACAUCAAUGAACAUUUAAAAUUAAUAACAUCGCAAGAUAAUAUAUCGAAA